UCCAGACUCCUACGGGAGGCAGCAGUGGGGAAUAUUGCACAAUGGGGGAAGCCCUGAUGCAGCGACGCCGCGUGAAGGAAGAAGUAUUUCGGUAUGUAAACUUCUAUCAGCAGGGAAGAAAAUGACGGUACCUGACUAAGAAGCCCCGGCUAACUACGUGCCAGCAGCCGCGGUAAUACGUAGGGGGCAAGCGUUAUCCGGAUUUACUGGGUGUAAAGGGAGCGUAGGCGGUGCAGCAAGUCAGAAGUGAAAGCCCGGGGCUCAACUCCGGGACUGCUUUUGAAACUGUUGAACUAGAUUGCAGGAGAGGUAAGUGGAAUUCCUAGUGUAGCGGUGAAAUGCGUAGAUAUUAGGAGGAACACCAGUGGCGAAGGCGACUUUCUGGACUGUACCUGACGCUGAGGCGCGAAAGCGUGGGUAGCGAACGGGAUUAGAUACCCGUGUACG
rnacentral:rRNA from 1 species